GUUUGAUUAUGGCUCAGGAUGAACGCUGGCGGCAUGCCUAAUACAUGCAAGUCGAACGGAGUGAAGCCUUCGGGUUUCAUUCAGUGGCGAACGGGUGAGUAAUACGCAGGGAACCUGGCCAUGGCAGGGGGAUACACUCUGGAAACGGAGCAUAAGACCCCAUAGGCAGUAAGGCGGCAUCGCCUUACUGUUAAAGAAAGCUGAAAGGCUUUGGCGAUGGAUGGACCUGCGGUGCAUUAGCUUGUUGGUGAGGCAACGGCUUACCAAGGCGAUGAUGCAUAGCCGGCCUGAGAGGGCGGACGGCCACACUGGGACUGAGACACGGCCCAGACUCCUGCGGGAGGCAGCAGUAGGGAAUUUUCGUCAAUGGGCGCAAGCCUGAACGAGCAAUGCCGCGUGAGUGAGGAAGGUCUUCGGACUGUAAAGCUCUGUUGCCGGGGAAAAAGGGGAAAUGCAGGAAAUGGCAUUUCAUGGAUGGUACCCGGCCAGAAAGCCACGGCUAACUACGUGCCAGCAGCCGCGGUAAUACGUAGGUGGCGAGCGUUAUCCGGAAUGAUUGGGCGUAAAGGGUGCGCAGGCGGUCUGUUAAGUCUGAAGGCAAAGGGAUGAGCUCAACUCAUUUAUGAUUCAGAAACUGGCAGACUUGAGGACAGGAGAGGGCGGUGGAACUCCAUGUGUAGCGGUAAAAUGCGCAGAGAUAUGGAAGAACACCAGUGGCGAAGGCGGCCGCCUGGCCUGUGACUGACGCUGAGGCACGAAAGCGUGGGGAGCAAAUAGGAUUAGAUACCCUAGUAGUCCACGCCGUAAACGAUGAGGAGCAGGUGUUGGGAGUGAAAUCUCAGUGCCGAAGCCAACGCAGUGACUCCUCCGCCUGGGGAGUAUGCACGCAAGUGUGAAACUCAAAGGAAUUGACGGGGGCCCGCGCAAGCGGUGGAGUAUGUGGUUUAAUUCGAAGCAACGCGAAGAACCUUACCAGGUUUUGACAUCGGAUGCGAAGGCGCAGAGAUGCGCUGGAGGCUAUCAUCCAGACAGGUGGUGCAUGGUUGUCGUCAGCUCGUGUCGUGAGAUGUUCAGUUAAGUCUGGCAACGAGCGCAACCCCCGUGGUAUGUUACUAACGCAUUUGGGCGAGGACUCAUAUCAGACUGCCGGUGACAAACCGGAGGAAGGCGGGGAUGACGUCAAAUCAUCAUGCCCCUUAUGACCUGGGCUACACACGUACUACAAUGGCGUCUACAGAGGGAAGCGACCCUGAGAAGGGAAGCGAAACCGGAAAAGGGCGUCCCAGUUCGGAUUGAAGUCUGCAACCCGACUUCAUGAAGAUGGAAUCGCUAGUAAUCGCGGAUCAGCAUGCCGCGGUGAAUACGUUCCCGGGCCUUGUACACACCGCCCGUCAAACCAUGGAAGCCGGCAACGCCCGAAGCCGGUGGCAUAACCUUUUAGGAGUGAGCCGUCGAAGGCGGGGCCGAUGACUGGGGUUAAGUCGUAACAAGGUAUCC
rnacentral:rRNA from 1 species